rnacentral:rRNA from 1 species
GUCGUGCGAGAAAGUACUUCGGGUGCGAGUAGAGCGGCGGACGGGUGAGUACGCGUAGGAAUCUACCUAGUAGAAGGGGAUAGCCCGGGGAAACUCGGAUUAAUACCGUAUACCUCCUCAGGGAGAAAGAGGGCUUAGCUUUGAUGCUCUCGCUAUUAGAUGAGCCUGCGUAAGAUUAGCUUGUUGGUGAGGUAAUGGCUCACCAAGGCGACGACCUUUAGCUGGUCUGAGAGGACGAUCAGCCACAUUGGGACUGAGACACGGCCCAGACUCCUACGGGAGGCAGCAGUGGGGAAUAUUGGACAAUGGGCGCAAGCCUGAUCCAGCCAUACCGCGUGUGUGAAGAAGGCUUUCGGGUUGUAAAGCACUUUAAGUAAGGAGAAAAAGAUUGUAGUUAAUACCUGCAAUCCGUGAUGUUACUUACAGAAUAAGGACCGGCUAAUUCCGUGCCAGCAGCCGCGGUAAUACGGAGGGGGUUAGCGUUGUUCGGAAUUACUGGGCGUAAAGCGCACGUAGGCGGAUUAGAACAGUUAGAGGUGAAAUCCCAGCGCUCAACCCUGGAACUGCCUUUAAAACUACUAGUCUAGAGUUCGAGAGAGGUGAGUGGAAUUCCGAGUGUAGAGGUGAAAUUCGUAGAUAUUCGGAGGAACACCAGUGGAGAGGCGGACACGGCUCAUCUGCAUGAGUGCGAACGUGGUAGA